GCCUGGUUGGCUUAGUCGGGGUAAGGCGUGUGACUCUUAAUCUCGAGGUCAUGAGUUCAAGCCCCACAUUGGGUA
rnacentral:tRNA from 1 species